AGGAAAGUCUAGAAGAUGGGAGUC
rnacentral:piRNA from 1 species